CAAUCCCAUCCCGGCAUUAAUUAUGACUAUUCAUUUGAGUGGACCGCUAAACCCAUCAUGUGAACCCAGGUCAAGCUCGAUGUCAGUCCAAUCACACUCCAACACCGAUGAUACCUAUCCACUUGAUCAGACCGCUAAAUCCAUCAUGCAAACCCAGAUGAAGCUCGAUUCCAUCCCGGCACUAAUUGUGACUAUUCAUUUGAUCGGACCGCUAAAUUCAUCAUAUGAACCUAAGUCAAGCUCGAUGUCAACC
rnacentral:lncRNA from 1 species